UGAGAUCGGUCGACGGCCGCCGGGUAUAGGGAGGGAAAGGGUCGACGAGGGGAGCGGCGGGGAGUACGGAGCGAAAGGGUCGGGGAAGGUUCGCUGCGGUCGACGGCCCGGCGGCGGAGUGGCGGCGGUGGCUAGGGUUGGGGGAAACGGCGAUAGGAGAGGGCUUGGCUGCGUCGGGGCAGAGAGCGCUCGGGGGCGAAGGGGUACGUAACUUGGCGGUGGCAAUUACAACGUCAUUUCGCCAAACUCUGGCUCUUCUUACACAGUUUCAGCAUUUACAAGACCGAAAAUGAGAUAAUAGCAUCUAUGGUCCUCAUACUUGGUGGCU
rnacentral:rRNA from 1 species